rnacentral:lncRNA from 1 species
UACAAUAUUUAACAAAUUUCUUUUAUACAAAUAUUUGUAUACAAAUAACAAUUAUCUCAUAAUACUUUGUAUAUAUUACCUUAAUACGCAAUCCACUAUAUACAUAACUUUAGUAAUUUGUAUAUAAAUUACACAACCUGAUGUUCUUCAGAUUUGUCUAGUUUUGUCCAGUUUUGAUGAGAUAGAUCCAAUCUCGUCUGAAUUUAUGUUUUUGACUUUUCUCUUGCUCCAACCUUCAAUUGUCUUAAUGCCGCUAGAUUUUGCGUUGUUGAUGACUUUCUGGUCAUUGGGUCAUUUUUUUCUUGAAUCUCUAUUCAAGAUAUUGUUCAAUUUGAACUUGUUUAUGUUGUCAUAUACCUAUAUUGACCCCAAAAUCUUGAAAUAACUCAAUUGAAAACGAAGGUGAAUUAUCAACAAUAUUGAUAUGCAAUGACAUACCUUUGGUAAUCCUCAUAUAUGGAGAUGAAUGCUUUAUUCUCAUUUUGAAGAACUUUAAAUUGAUAAGAAAGAAAGAAUUUUUUUUAAAAAAAAAGUAUGAAAAAACUAAGAAAAAUAAUAGAUAUAUAGUUAUGUUGAUGAAGGAAAAAAAUUAAAAAAUAAGAACUGGAUUAAUGAAAGUAAGAGAACAGGAAUAUCUAGAAAUUUUUCAAAAUUCAAAAUAGGAGUGGAGUGAUUUUAGGAGAAAGAUAU